rnacentral:rRNA from 1 species
UACGGAGGAUCCGAGCGUUAUCCGGAUUUAUUGGGUUUAAAGGGUGCGUAGGCGGUUUGAUAAGUUAGAGGUGAAAUGUCGGGGCUCAACCCCGAAACUGCCUCUAAUACUGUUGGACUAGAGAAUAGUUGCGGUAGGCAGAAUGUAUGGUGUAGCGGUGAAAUGCUUAGAGAUCAUACAGAACACCGAUUGCGAAGGCAGCUUACCAAACUAUAUCUGACGUUGAGGCACGAAAGCGUGGGUAGCAAACAGG